GACGUAGGGCGCGAGCGUUGUCCGGAUUUAUUGGGCGUAAAGAGCUCGUAGGCGGUCUGUCGCGUCUGCCGUGAAAACCCGAGGCUUAACCUCGGGCUGGCGGUGGAUACGGGCAGACUAGAGGUAGGUAGGGGAGAAUGGAAUUCCCGGUGUAGCGGUGAAAUGCGCAGAUAUCGGGAGGAACACCGGUGGCGAAGGCGGUUCUCUGGGCCUUACCUGACGCUGAGGAGCGAAAGCGUGGGGAGCAAACAGG
rnacentral:rRNA from 1 species